UCACCACGCCCAAUAUCCAGU
rnacentral:miRNA from 1 species